CCUACGGGUGGCAGCAGUAGGGAAUAUUGCACAAUGGGGGAAACCCUGAAGCAGCAACGCCGCGUGGAGGAUGAAGGUUUUCGGAUUGUAAACUCCUUUUGUUAGAGAAGAUAAUGACGGUAUCUAACGAAUAAGCACCGGCUAACUCCGUGCCAGCAGCCGCGGUAAUACGGAGGGUGCAAGCGUUACCCGGAAUCACUGGGCGUAAAGAGCGCGUAGGCGGGAUAGCAAGUCAGAUGUGAAAUCCUAGGGCUUAACCAUAGAACUGCAUUUGAAACUGUUAUUCUAGAGUAUGGGAGGGGGAGGUGGAAUUCUUGGUGUAGGGGUAAAAUCCGUAGAGAUCAAGAGGAAUACUCAUUGCGAAGGCGACCUGCUAGAACAUAACUGACGCUGAUGCGCGAAAGCGUGGGGAGCAAACAGGAUUAGAUACCCCAGUAGUC
rnacentral:rRNA from 1 species